UUGCUUCUGCAGCAGAUAUACUAACAUUAGAAUAGUGCAGGUAAGAUUAGCAUGCCCCUGUGCAAAGAUGACAUGCAAAUUCAGGAAAAUUUAGGGUUUUUU